rfam:Biomphalaria glabrata isolate BB02 unplaced genomic scaffold LGTN_random_Scaffold10652, whole genome shotgun sequence.
UGGCUGAGCGGUAAAGCGCUUGGCUUUCAAACCAGGGGUCCCUGGUUCUAAUCCUGG